GUCCACUGCAAUAGCUGUGAGGGUGAAAACGGACACAUAUACUGUCAUGGGCUGCAUCAGAAACACAAAAUAGCAGAGGAACUUUCCAAAGACCCAUCCUUGGGGGUUGAAGGCAUAAGCCAAAGUAAAAGUCUUACAGAUGACAUAGAGGAGGAGAUAAUUGCCAACGAUGCCCACAAGGACAACCAGCGUGUAGCAAGGGAUGAUCAGUGGUUUAAAAGAUUGGAUCAUCUGCACCCCGCUGAACUGAGAAGUCAAAUUGGAGCUGUUCCUAUGGCCAGCUUCAUAGAUGCUCUGAUUGGAUGGGCAGUUGUUCAAACAUCCAGUGGAUUCCAUGAGUUGAACAACACAAAGGACCAGAGUUAAACCAAAAAUUACUUUUCAAUUAGAUGACUGACUGCCAAAUAGAUGCUGGCAAAGACGGCGAGGACAGAGGGACAUAGCUGAAUAGAAACACUGUAAAUGCAUACAAAUAGAAAUCAUGCAUUCUCUUCUUCACUAACCUGGAACA